rnacentral:lncRNA from 1 species
AAAAACAAGAUAGGCCCAUUCCUAAUCGAUCCAAAUCACUGACCCGACCUGUCUUGUUCAUUACAUACACCCUUAAACAUUGGGUUUUGUUUCCUAAUCUCAUCUGCCGCUUGAGCUCCAGCUAAAAAUGUUUCCAACUCCACUGAUGAACCUGAGCUUCCUUUUGAAGAUGUUGUGGAUCAUUAAUUCUUUCCCAUGGCCAUAUAGUAAACUACAUCGUAUAUCAGCUAUUAGAAGUAAGUAGUCCGCUCCCUUUUCCAUUAGUCCAGCCACCAUUUUCAACUCUUUAGUAAUCGAUUUCUGUUUUCCCAGCUGUGUCCUCCGAUUGUUGGGAAUAUCCAAAGUUUUUUGGUGCUUGAUUGAAGGGUUUUGACCCCUAAAAGUGCAUAAACAUAUAGGUAAACCUCUUUCUUUUCCUUUUCUUUUCAUCCAUGUUCUUCGUUUCAAGAUAUGAGUAUUAUACUGGUUUCUAUAGCCCUUGAUGAGAGAGAAAUAAUAAGAAGAUUGGGUCCAUAUAUUGUUGUUCUAUGUGUAUCUCUUCAGGUGUUUCUUUUGAAGAUCUGAUAAAACCCUCUCUUUACAAUGCGAGUCCUUUUUGCUGGCUGUAAUAGAAUAGGCUACAUGAAUUUAUACAUCUUUUGUGACUGUAUUUUUGUAUAUAUUGUUAUGCUCACUUAAUGUUUUAGCCUGAACAUCCCUCUUACCCAUUUAAUGAUGAAAUCCUUAUGUAAGGACACUGUAGUUUGUCACUGUUUAAUAUUCCUUUUCCUUUGGCCUGUAGUUGUUGAAAUCUUGUAAAUAUGAACUCUCCUUUAUCAAUCGCAUGAUUUGCUAGAUGUUUUGCUAAUUGGUUACCCUCCCUCAGUAUAUGUUGUGCCUAUAUGUGCUUAUUGCUUAUUAAUCUGCAUAUCUUCUCAACAUAAUUUUUUAGAUACCAUAGACAUGCCCACUCUUUAUUGAUUAUCUUCUGCACAAGUAGUAAGUCUGUUUGAAAUAUUAUUCUAUCAUAACUUGAAAUACUGCAAUGCCUUACUUCUUGUAACAUGGCCAAUAUUUCUUCCUCCACAUUAGGUGUAUCCUCAAUUUUAGCUCAUUGGGCAUAGAUUAGAUCUCCCUUAGUAUCUCUUAGGCAAAAUACAUAACGAAUCCCCCCUGGGUUGCCUCUAGAUGCUCCAUCAGUGUAGUAUUUUAACCAACCCUCUUCAGGAAAUCUCUAUAGUAUUAUAGUGAUCUUCAUUCUGGUCUUACCCUACUCUAAUGCUGUCACAAUAUCUAGCCAGGAUAUAGGAUAUUUUUGAGCCGGUCUUCUCACUUUUAUUAACAUACCAAUGCUCCAAUUAACAUUGUAUAUUAAUUUGUGCAUUGAAAUAACUCUUCCUUCAUGCUUGAUAGAAUUCCUUCUUUUCCACAAUUCCCAUAUAAUCAUACUUGGGACUGCCAUAUAAUAUGCUUGUGUUCCUUUUUUACUCUGCACAUUUUACCAAGGAAGUAUGGCUUUCCUGACACUCACUCCAUUUACUGCAAUACCUUUAAAACAAGCAAAAUUGGACCCAGUUCUAUUAGUAUGUGAAGACUUUAGAAACAUAUGUGCAAUAGUUUCUUGCUCUAGAUUAGUGCAACAGCAAUACCUAGUAGGACCCUACAUACCCUAUCUCCUUAAAUAUUCAUCUAAUGGAACCUUCCCUUUCCAAAUCCUCCACAUUAGAAAUGCCAUUUUGAAAGGUAAUCAUUUUAUCCAAAUGCAGUUAAAUACAUUGCUCUUUGAUUCUCUCUGUCUGACAUACUGCCACGCUAACCUUACAGUAAAUUCCCCUAUAGAUUCCAACAUACAAAUAGGUUUAUCAGCUCCCUUACUUCUUCUUGAAGACUGUAUUUUACUAAUGAUCAUAUCAUUGACAUCAUGACUCACCACCUAAUCUAUCAAGUGUUCAUUCCAGCCAAUAUCACUCACUAAGUAUUUUACUUUCUGAAAUCUGGGAUCCCAUUCUCUACUCUGAUCAGAUAUGGCAUUAAAUUUCCAUAUCUAAUCCAAUUAUCAAACCAUAAACUAGUUUCUUCAUCUUUGAUCUUCCAUAAAAUCUGAUAUUCUAUCAAGUUCCUUGCCUGAAGCAUUUUCUCACAAACCUAUGAUCCAUUUCCUGUCUUCCACAUCACUUCAUUAGGAUGAUUAUUCCUGCAAUACCUGUUAUUCAUAUAAGUGCUCCAUAUCAAACAGGGCCACUGACGCAUCUUGAAUCCUAAUCCACCUUCAUCUUUAGGUAGGCAUAAAGAAUUCCAUCUAACCCAAUGCCUACUUUUUCCAACUAUAUGAAUACUCCAAAAAAAUUGAGCAAACAUCUUUUGAAUAGCAUUCAUAAAAAUUAAAGUGGCAUUCAUUACUGAUAAACAAUGAAUAGCAAUGCUCUGUAAAACAUGCUUAAUUAGAGUUGCUCUCCCACCAUAAGAAAGAAUCUUACCUUUCCACCCUUGGAGCUUAGAACUGAAUUUAUUCAUCAAAGUUUAUUCUUCCUUAUUUAAAAAAUAGGAAAACCCAGAUAAAUGAAUGGGAAUUCCUUCCUGAGAAUACCUAGUGCCAACUCUUCUAUGAGAAUUGUACCUUGAGACACUCCCUUGUGAAAAUAGAUUGCACUUUCUUCUUUAUUCAAUUUUUGCCCUGAUACCCUUUCAUAUCUUUCCAAUGUGCUUGCCACCAUCUUCAUAGUACCCAGUUCAUCCUUGGAUAAGAUGAUUAUAUUAUCUACAAAAGUGAAAUAAUUGAACUUAGGACUCCUCCUUAGUAAUCCAAACAUCCUGGAUUUCUUUUUUUGAAUUAAGGAUUUCAAAGAUGUGGACAUAAGUUCAGCUUCUAUAAUAAAAAGAGUUGGAGACAGUUGAUCACCCUUCUUCAAUCCCCUUUGAGACUUAAAAAAUCCCUUUGGCUUGGCAUUUAUCAAAAUAGAGUACCAAUUAUUAUUCAGUAAUUUGUAAAUCAUAUCAAUGAUUGUUUAUGAAAAUCCUGUCCUUCUUAAAACCUUAGUAAGAUACAGCCAGUCCACCCUGUCAUAAGCCUUCAUCUUUAGGUAGGCAUAAAGAAUUCCAUCUAACCCAAUGCCUACUUUUUCCAACUAUAUGAAUACUUCAAAAAAAUUGAGCAAACAUCUUUUGAAUAACAUUCAUAAAAUUUAAAGUGGCAUUCAUUACUGAUAAACGAUGAAUAGCAAUGCUCUGUAAUACAUGCUUAAUUAAAGCUGCUCUCCCACCAUAAGAAAGAAUCUUACCUUUCCACCCUUGGAGCUUAGAACUGAAUUUAUUCAUCAAAUAUUUGUAACAAAGUUUAUUCUUCCUUAUUAAAAUAGGAAAACCCAGAUAAAUGAAUGGGAAUUCCUUCCUGAGAAUACCUAGUGCCAACUCUUCUAUGAGAAUUGUACCUUGAGACAUUCCCUUGUGAAAAUAGAUUGCACUUUCUUCUUUAUUCAAUUUUUGCCCUGAUACCCUUUCAUAUCUUUCCAAUGUGCUUGCCACCAUCUUCAUAGUACCCAGUUCAUCCUUGGAUAAGAUGAUUAUAUUAUCUACAAAAGUGAAAUAAUUGAACUUGGGACUCCUCCUUAGUAAUCCAAACAUCCUGGAUUUCUUUUUUUGAAUUAAGGAUUUCAAAGAUGUGGACAUAAGUUCAGCUUCUAUAAUAAAAAGAGUUGGAGACAGUUGAUCACCCUUCUUCAAUCCCCUUUGAGACUUAAAAAAUCUCUUUGGCUUGCCAUUUAUCAAAAUAGAGUACCAAUUAUUAUUCAGUAAUUUGUAAAUCAUAUCAAUGAUUGUUUAUGAAAAUCCUGUCCUUCUUAAAACCUUAGUAAGAUACAGCCAGUCCACCCUGUCAUAAGCCUUCAUCAUAUUAUGUUUAAUCACCAUAUUUGGAACCUUGCCCCUUUUCCUGAUUUCAGAAAUAACUUUUUGAACAAUAAAAAUGUUUUCAGCAAUACUUCUCCCCUGAACAAAUCCAACUUGCUCUUCAAAUAUAAUGUCAGGUAAAUACUUCUUUAAUCUCUCAUGAAUAAUUUUAGAAAAAACUUUAUUUACAAAGUAUCUUAAGGAAAUUGGUCUGAAAUCUAAAAUGUCUUAGUUACUAAUUUCUUAGUUCUCCUUCUGCACUUAUUCAUCUGUUGUUAAAUGAACUUUUUCUACUUGUUUAUCAUUCUUAUUUUUGUGAGAUUCUUCCAUUGUGGCUAUUAUCUCUUAUUUUUCUGGGUUAUUUUCAUUUAGUUUAUUACUACCAAAGCUACUAGUGACCCAAUCCUUCGUACUCUGCUUGUCUUGCUCUCUUAUUUUCUCCUUUUUCAAGAACUUCCUCCUGCUGAUUUCCAUUAAUAAUAUCCACUCCCGUGUCUUCAUUUGUUAAUGAUUCAAAAGAAUUAGACAUGUGGACAUCUAUUUUGUCCUCUUUCUCUACCUCUCCCAAUAUAUGUCCAUACUUGUCUUUUUUGUAUUUAUUUCUUCUAGUGAGCCAUUUCUUCUUAUAUCUAUGUAUCCUCCUUCAAUUUUUUAAUACCUUACCUUUUUCUUUAUCUAUAUCUUUUUCCCUUUGUUGACUUGCCUUUUAUAUUCCUCCAUUUGCUCCAGAUGUAAUUUAGGAUGUUAUUCCAAUAAGUAUCUUUAUCAUGACCCAGUAAACAACACUCCUUAUAAUACUUGGGCAUAUAUUCAUAUUGAAUUUGUAACCAUUUAAACCUUAUUUCUCCUAUUGCAUCAUCUUCUUGAUUUAUUCUAGCUCGUUAAGGUAAUUUAGCUACCAAAUCUACCUCUACAUUUACUUUGGCACAACUAGGUCUUGUCUUAUUCUUUGUUUCCAUAUCAACUGUUAGAGGUUUUCCAACAGUUGAAGCUAUUGAAAAAAUUGCCUCUUUAGCAAAAAAAAUUAGAAGGUAAAUCGGGGAUGGAGAUCCAUGCAACCACUAUAGUAGUCUCCACAUCCGGCUCAAACCAAGGAUCCUAUUUUAAUAUUUGCAUCUACCAAAUUCUAUCCUUGGCUUUGAGAUAAUAACAACCAUUGAUAAAAGAUUUACAUCAUCUUCCAUCACCUCCAGUCUAAUAAUAAUAUGUCUAGAAUCAAGAACCCUAGUAGUACAAUCUUCCUUGAUUCCACAUUAAACUAGUAAUAUUUUUCUCAGUUCAUUAAUACUCGGUUUACUAAAAGAAAAUUUACCUAUUAUUGUAAAUUGUAAAUUUUUUUAUAGUAUUAAAUUCUAAAUCUAUGAUGAUUUCUAAGUGAUACUUGGUUCACCUUCAAUCAAUACAAUUGGUUUUAGAGGCACUUUAAUCUCAUUUGUAUUAGCAUUCUUGGGAUUCAACAUAUUAGCGUAAGAUUGUUUGGUUGGUGGGUCAGUCUUAGUCAUAGUUUUAAUGUUUUUCGAUGGUCUAACCCACUGGAUGUAGUGUCCAUAUCCGUCUAUUACAAUAGGGUUUAGGGUUUUCAAGGGAGAGAGUUUUCCUUGGCUAAUUUUCAAAACUUUAGGCUGAGAUUGUUUAAAUAUGUGGUUGCAUGGGAAUGGUCAAUUGGUACUUGGUUUUUGUUUUGGAAACUAUAUGCCCUCAACAUGUUCAGUAACAUACCUAUGAGAAUGGUUAUGUCACAUUGUAUGACUUUUAUUGAAACUUUGCAUUGCAUAAUAUGGUGAUAGAAGCUAAACUGGUUUGGUUAGUUGUAAAGGGAUAGAAAUAGGGGUACAAUGGAAUCCCUAAAUUGAUUGUUUUGGAGUGGAACUUGGAAAUAAACUAAACCCACUUACAUAAUUGAUUUUGGUUUAUGCAUUCGUACUUAGUUUGGUUUGUUCCUUGAAAUGACUACAUGUCAUUAAUGGUUAAUUGGUUAAGGAUUGUUUUAAAAACAUUAUGGGGUACACGAGAAUCCCCCAAGUAGUCUUACAAUGAAAACCUUAUGGGGUAUGUGGGAAUCCCCUAAGUGAUUUUAAUAAAGGAGUCAACGAGGUACAUGGGAAUUCACUAAGUGAUUGGCUAAGGACAUUGUUUAUAAGAUAUAGUUGGUAUGACGAUACCACUUAUUAAUGCCUUAAUAAUUGACUAUUGGAAUUGGUGGUUUAGUUGUAUGUAAUUGAUUUAAUUAGGCAAUAAUGGCGAGUUUGAUAGCUACCUGUGGAGGUGUGAGUUUGAAAGAAUGACUCUAGAAAAUCAUAUUUGUUGAUAUGAGGAUUGGUCUUGAUGACCGCAUACUUGUGGGGUCCAAGGGAAUCCCUAAAGGAUAUACAUGUACAUAUGUAUCAUAGAGGGCAAAGGAUACAAGGGAAUCCUCAACCAUCUAUGCUAUCUCUAAUUCAUGUAGGUAUACAUAUUGGGGCCCAUCUAGGGGAUAAGACCAGACCCAUAUAGCAUGUGGGUGGACCAUGACGGUAAAUCUACACAAACCAGGUUAAAGUUUUAAAUGCAUGUUAAACCUAGUUUCCCUUCCCUACAUGAUAUGUAUAUAUAUAGAUGUAUGUAUGUUAUUACAUAUGGUUAUUUACUUUGACUUUGAAUAAUAAUAUUAUUUUAUCCUUACUCCUAAGUACAUGCUAGUUUACACCCGUUAACCCAUGUUCGACCAUUAUAUCCCCACGCGAUGGAGAAACUAACCAUACUAUCAUUCCUCUAGUAUAGUAACUUAGAUUCGGGGACAGCGUGAGUCAGACUGAAGUAGUGAGCUUUAAUUCUUUGAAAGUCCCAUUUCAUGGUAUGGUUUAUCUUAUGUCCUUACUAUUCCUUUAAUAAUGGAUUUUGGGUAUGGUCGGGGGCAUGUUCCGACUGGAUAUUCCCUGGUAUGGUGUAGAGGCUUUGUAUGGAUAAAUAUGGACUUAGGUAUAGAAUGGCUAUAGUUUUGGUUAUUUUUGUAUUUGGUUUUCUUGUGGUUCAAUUGACUUGUUUGGGUUGGUCUCAGUCAUAGAACUACCCCAAAGUCAUUACAAUUUAAAUUACUCUAUCUUGUUAUAUGGUUGAAAUUUAUCCUACUUAGGGAAUGUGUUGGUUGGUUGGGUUGGGUAACGAGGGUAGUAUCCGAUCUUUGUUGGACUUGAGAUGUCUAUUAUAACAAGGCACUGGUUUGGGUUAUGUCACGUGAUUAUGAUGUUGUGAUUAUUACGGACAUAUUAUUUGGCCAUAGACUAUGAUAUGAUAGUGAUUCGAUAUCUACGGAGUGUUUAUCCUUGUAAAGGAUGUAAUUUUAGUUUAUGAAUAUGCAUAUAUAUUUUUAUAUACACAUCUCUCGGAUAUGGGAUGGAGGAAAUUGUGGUAUGUUUCUUAGGACUUUAUUAAUUUGAAAACUGGUGAUGGCAUGCAUAGAUAUGGUAAAUUCAUGAUUAUUAUAUUGGUAAUUAAUAUGAUUAUAGCUGAAAUACAAUCUUAUGACAUUCUUCAUACUUAUGGGUUAAGAUAUGCGAUAGCUAGUUAUCUUUUAGGUGACUAUAACACUUGAUGGUUAGGAAUAUACAUUCUAGUUAAUGAACCUUGGUAGCUUGAGAUAAUUGAUACGUGGCUAAUAAUGAUGUUGAGGUUAGCAUAGGUGAAUAUUAGUAAUAUUAAUGACUAAGUUUAUGUUGUUGAUUAGUUGUUAAAAAAGGAGUUGUGUAUUACUGAGGCUAGAUAAUAAGAGAUAUUGGUGACAAGAGAUGAUUAGUUAAUAAUGAUGAAUAGUUGAUAAACAAGGAUUAGUUGGUAAAUGAUGGUUAAUUAAUGAAUGGUGUUAGUUAAAUAAAGUUUGUUAGAUGAUAAAUAAUAAUGUAUUGACUAGUAAUGAUUAACAGAUAUAGGAUAAUUAACUAAUAAAAUUGUGUAGUGGUUAAAUAGAGAUUAUAGUCUAGAGAUGAAUCUUGACUAGCUAUUGGGUAUUACCAUUAUUAUAUAAAUAUUAGUAGCUAUCCAAUGAAUAAGGAUUAUAUGAAGGAUAUUGGGUAUUGGCGUCAUUAUAUAAACAUUAGUUGCUAUCCCAUGAAUAAGGAUUACGUGAAGGAAAAUGAUUAGGCAAAUAAUUAGAUAUCAUGUGAAGACUAGUGAAUUGCUAGUUUAAUGAUCAUAAGCGUUUGUUAGCUAAUAACGAAUAGUUUGAAAGUAUUGACAAGUUAGAUAUUUUAUGAUGAUAUGAUUAUGAUUAUGUGUAUAUUAAUAGUCUUGUAGAUUUACCCUCCCUUUGCCACAUCUUGAGCCCCUACACUUAUUAUAUGACAAUAAAUAUAUGUGUACUGAUGUUUUUUAUUAUAUUGAUACUUGGCAAUGCUGGAGAAUAUUGUGAUGAUGAUAUCGAUAACUGGCAAGGCCGAAGGAUAUUGUGAUGAUGAUAUUGAUACCCUCUUAGGCCAGAGGAUAUUGUGAUGAUAAUAUUAAUAACUAACAAGGCUAGAAGAUUUUGUGAUGAUGAUAUUUAUACCCGACAAGGCCAGAGGAUAUUAUGAUGUUGAUAUUGAUACCCAACAAGUUAAGAGGAUAUUUUGAUGAUUAUAUUAAUACCCAAAAAGGUCAGAGGAUAUUAAGAUGAUGAUAUUGAUAUUUGACAAAGCCAAAGGAUAUUGUGAUUAUAAUAUUGUUAUACGACAUGGCUGAAGGAUAUAUGUGCUGAUGUAUUUAUCCCUGGCAAGGCCAAAGGUUGAUUGUACUGAUGAUGAUUAUGAUGAUGAUAGUUAUGAUGGAGAUGGUUAUGAUGAUAAGAUUGUGAUAUUGAUUGCGUACUUUGCAUUCAUUCCAGUUUGCGCAAUGCCUAUUACUAGUAUGCACCUAUGUUUAUCAGCUGAUAUGGAACGGUUGCAUAUAUAUGAGUAAAAAUUAUGCCUUUUGUUGUUGUAUGUUGAUUUAACCACGUUUCUAGUUGUGGGGGUACGAAUAGGCUCAACUAGGUAUUUGGUUAUCCGGAGUAGUAGUCUAUUCAUACUGUUAUUAAUGUUUUUAUUAUCAUCAUUUUAAUUUUUAUUAUUGCUAUCUUAUGAUAGAUUUGUCAUUGAUCUUGCAUCGAGAUCUGAGGUAAGUGUAUAGCCUCUUCUAUCUUAUGAUAACAUUAUUGUGCAUGAUUAUUUCAUGUCUAGCCAUAUGGAUUAGAAACCUUGAGUAUGAUAGCAUCAAAUCUUGAUAGUAACAUAAUAAGAUCUUUAAAUAAUAACAUGAUGAUCUAGGUUAUGGUUGAGAUGACCUCAUGUUUAUAUAUAGCUAUAUGAAGAUAGGGUACUACAAUAUAUCCCUUCCUUUGUUUUUUAUAUUAUAAAGUAAGUUCUUCACCUUAUAUAUUGGUAUAUAUCUUUUUUUCCCUUUAUUCGUAUAUUGGCCUAGGAUAUAUAUAAUAGCAUUAACCUCUAUUGAUUGUGGUUGUAAUAUAAUAGUUCACCCUAACACUUUCUUAGUUUUAUUAUUUUAGACUCUUGGACUUGAGCAAGAUAGUUAAUCCUUAUUAUUCUCAUUGACUUGUUAAAUGAUUUCUGGACUCUUGUUUGUAGAUUCUAUUCUGUUUAUAUGUUGUCUAUAUCAACUAUAUUAUUGGGUCUCAGUUGGUUGUUUCCUACUGAGUAACAUUAGUUUGGUACACAUACUCCACUUAGGUAGCUUGUAGUUCAUAAUACGGGUUAUCGCUGUUGAUGUAUGCAUCGUGCGAAGCUGCCAUGGUCCAGAGACUUAGAGUGAACUCCUGACAUUUGGAUUAUUACUUAUCUCUCUCUUUUGUAUUAGGUUAAUCUUUACAUUAUAUUUAGAGAUAAAUUGUAUUAGUGUAGUUCUAUUGUUAUUUCACUUUUGUACCUUUGUGAUAUUACAAGCUCUUGUACUGAUACCACUAGGCAUUGAGAUACUAUUAUGUAUUGAUCUUUGUUUCAUUUAUUCCGCAUUAUGUUCCUUAUAUUAUUAACUAGUCAAUUACUAGUCGUUAAUGACUAUGGUUUGGCAUACCUACUGGUGGGUUAUGGUAGGCGCCUUCAUGACUUUAGAAAUUAGGUCAUAACAAAUUGGUAUUAGAGCCUAGGUUUAUCAUGUGCAUUAGUACAAGAGCUAAUUGUUAGUAGAGUUGUACAGAUUGGUGUGGAGACAUUCGUAACGUAUCUACAGGAGGCUACAAGAAUAAUUUACGAAAUUCACUUCUUUACUCCUUAUUGUGUCUCCGCAUUCUUAUAAACCUUGAACACAUUCUUAGACCCUAUUCUAUCCUCAAAAGAUGAUACGACCUUGUCAUUAUAUACGGAUGAGACUUUAACACAUGUUUCUAGAGUUUCAAUAUAGCAUCAGACUAGAGAGACAAAGAUAGGUAUCAAAGAUCUUCAGCAACAACCAAAAAAGGGAUUUGGGAAAGCUUAGGCUGUUGUUGAGUUUGUGACUACUUCAGUCUUUAAGGUUCAACAUUGGGAAUUCAAGUCAUGUUGUAGAUCCUUCUCUACCAUGGAUGGUGUUUGAUCAAUCAAGUAAUUCUUAAACCAAGGUUGAUUCUAUUAGUGUUCACAAGGGUUCUCUACCAUUUUUUAGUACGAUAUUGGAUUUGUCGUAUAGUCUAGGCAUUUUCCUAUGCUACAUCCUUCUGAGUCAAAUAUUAGGGCAUGGAUAUUUAAGAGGGUUAGUAUUGUUACACCAUUUGGCAUUAGAGCACUUGAUAACAGUUGAGUCUUCCUUCUAUUAGGAUAUUGAUUAUGAAGGUCCAUAGAGAGCAUAAGUAUUGAAAAUUAUGGAAAUGGCCGCAAGAGGCAUGCCAUCAGUAUAGUACUAUUUGUUUUUUAUUCAAGAGUAAGUAUUCUUCCAAUAGAGUUCAACUUUACCGAUAGCCUAUCAGCUCUACGCAAAUAGUAUUUCAUACUAUGAGAAGUUCUCAGAUUAGUUGUGAUGAUCAUAGUGGGCAGAGUCCCCAUUAGACUUAUUGAGUAUGGUAUGGUUCUUCAAGCCAUGGUGACCAUUUUGGAUUAUGAGGAGCAGUAUAUUAAAGUAUUCUAGGAUCUUAGUUUGGUUGUUGUGUGAUAAGUCCCUGGUUCAUAGAAUUCCCUAGGGAUGAGAUAGAUGAUCUUUUAGAGUUAACAUAUAUUUCCCUAUCAGGCCAGAGUUUUUGAGGCGAGAUAUGCUAGUGGAAGCAUGGACAUAAUCCAAGAGAUUUCUCUCAGCAUCAAUUGGCCAGCCAUUUGUGCUCAGUUUGUGUCUCUCUAUUUAGUGCUUCAAAAGUUUGCUUAGACUAUAGAGAGACCGGCUACUAGUCUAAAAAGUGUCUCCAACAUAGGAUUUCUAGUCAUUCAGCUCAUUCAGAUCAGCCUCAUAAUAUUGUGGCAUAUUCAGUUAGAGGUAGUAUGUAUGGCACCUCAGUUGAGAUUCAGUCGUUCGAUUUGAGUUGGACCCAUUCAGAUUUAUGUUUCCUAUUCUCAUUAGGUAUGUAAUUGCAGAUGUCACCACGAUAGUGUACUUUUGUUUCCCACAUUUAUCUCUUAUUAUGUGUAUUGGGGUUUUCAUACCUAUUGAUGAUUAGAUGCAUUGAUGAAUUAGAUGCAUUGAUGAAUUAGAUUGGUCAUUAUAGGCCUUAUUGUUAAAUUUAUGAUUAUGUUACUACUUUGUGGUUUAUUUAUUUAAGUAGCGGAUGGAGUAGAUCUAUAUGGAUAUUUUCCCCUAUGGGUGUAGUUUUUGGGUUUGAGUCCUAUUUAUCUCAGUACAUUAACCCUAUUGUGACCCUUGAUUGGUACAUGAUAUUGAUGUUCAUUUUGGUACCGCCUGUUCAGUAUCUUGAUUUUGAUAUUGUUAUUGCUAUUUCUACCACCAUAUGAGGCUAUUGAUAUUUUUUGAUAUUAUUUCUUAGUGUAAUUCAUUCUUACUAGUUACUUGUAUAAACUAGUAUUAUCUAGCCAGACUUCUCUUUUCUUGUAAUAUUAUUUGGUGGCCUGAGUAGAUAUAGCCCGAUGUGAUAAUUUUUUCCCCUAGCACGGCGAGAUUGAUCGUGUUCCCUCUUGGUUAGCUGUAUUUGAUUAAUCAAGGGAUGAUUAUAGUAUCGCAGGUAAGUUGAACUUCUGUGGCUCUUUGUGGUUUUUCAGUCGAUAAUUUAGUUACAUUACCCAUUAUCGAGCUCAAGAUUUUUAGACGUGCCUCCUAGGUUGUGAAGGCUUUUGCUUCGGCUAUCCUUUUUUAUAUAACCCAUUUGUUAAAAGGACCAACUUGAGGUCCGUUCUUCAUUGUGACUAGUCCAUUAUCCGAAAAUAAUUUUGAUAUUAAUAUUAAGAUGUCAUGGAUUCAUCUCUUAGAUUUGUUAGGUUGGUUCACUUGUGAUGGGUCGCCCUUAUUGUUAGUAUGGAGAUUGGAUGCUCAUUCCUUUCGAUAUGGUUUUGCCUUAAAUAGAUUUAGAGAAGUAGAGGUAGGUGGUCUUUCUUGUGAUCGCUUCUUAAGUGUGCAAAUUGGAAAUUCUCGAUCUCAAGUUGUUGAUUUUUUGUGGUGGUCUUGAGUUUGACCCUAGUUUUGAGAUUGGUAUUCCUUCUUCGAUGAUAUGAUAUAGGGUGGAUUUGGGGAAACCCUAUUUUAGAGUUUUUAGGCCUAAUAAAGCUUAGUGAAAUGUUUCUUCUUGAUGAUAUAUAUUUGUGUCUAUUCCUUGUGGAGAUGGAGUGUUAGAUUGGUUAGUCAUCGGCUAAAGUUGUAUUUCUAUGAGUUGCUAGAGCUUUUUCCUUUUCUCGUGUGGUUUUAACCUUGGGAUAUUUUUGAGUAUGUUAGGAAAGUUCAUGCCCUUCAGAGAUUAUGGACUGAGUUAUUUAUAUUUCUGACAGUGACUCAUCUUUUGGCAGGAUUCUUAUUUUGUGGUUAUAUUUUGUACCCUGUAGCUGAGAUAGAUUUGGUUGAUUGUAUUCUCAGUCAGUAUUUAUCCUUUUGGUGGUUUUUUCUCUUCAGAUAUGUCUCGACUGUGGAUUCGUAUGAUUUAUCUCAGAAAUGUCAUAUUUGGAUGCAAGAGUCGAGUUGGGAUAAUUGACAUUGGUAUAGCCUUAUCAACUUAGUUUUUGAUUUGAUGCCUUGGAAGUAUGAUAGAUUGAAAGUAUUAAUUCCUACUCGUCUUUAGGUUUGGUUUGGGUAGUUGAGAUCGAGCGAUUUAUCCUUGGUAUUGAGAUUUCAGCUUAGUAUAUUGAGCUUGCAUGCAGCUUUUGUUUUAGACUUGCCUUUGUUCAGAUUUCAUUUAUAGGCUGGUUGAGCCUAAUCCAUAAUUGCCUAUUCAUUCUUCUAGACAUUAGUUGGAUUAUAGCUGAUAAGUGUUUAGAUGAUAGCCCACGGGCCCCAUAUUGGUUAUUUAAGAAUUGACCUCGAGUUGUAUUUUUCUUUGUGAAUUUUAGAUCGCUUACUCGAUGGGAGUAGUAUAGUCAAGUUAGAUUCAGUAUGACAUCAUUCUCUGUGGAUGAUAUAUCAUGGAGUGGAAUAUUUAGUAAUGAGUUGUUCUAUAUUAGAUUUCAAGAUUUUAGUCUAAUUUUCAUCAGUGUUGAUUGUCGUAUUGGCAUGGAUAGCAUUCCUCGAUUAUCUCCAUUUAUGUACCUAGACAGUGCCUUAUGAGUUAUUCCCUUAUUUUUCGUAUGGACAUUCAGUGGAUCACCUUUAGUUCAUUGAGUUCUCUGUGAUGAGACCACAUGGGCAAGACUCAACUGAUUUUCCUCCUGGCUUGGAGUAGAUAGUAUAUGCAAACUGGUAAAGAAAGGUUAUAUUUGGAUUUGGAUUUGGUGGCAUGACUCGUAACUUGGGUUAGCUUUGGCUCAAAUAAGACUUUGUUGAUUUAUGCAGAUAGAGAGAUGGUAUUAGUAUAAUGUGGUUCAGAUGUGCAUGCAUUAGUCUUCUGGUUCAGUUUGAGGCCUGUUAGCGGUUAAGUUAAAUUUUGGCUAUUUGGAGGUAGUAUGAAAGUGCUGAUUAAAAAAGGAAUACCUAUGGAAAAAUCUCUUAGAAGUAUUUUCUCUCAGCUGACGUUAUCUUUAAAUCAUGCUUGGAGCAUGCAGGCCCAGUAUCUCAUCCCUUCGAGCUUUUGAGAUUCUUUCUAUCUAUUGACGUUCGGGGUCAAAAGUCCUUUUACUAGUGGAUAAUGUAAUGACCCUUUAGGUCAUUUUCCAUAUUUAUGCUUAUCGUUAGCAUCUCCAUAACUUCCCUACAUUAUUUAUGACUUGUUGGGACUGAAGGUUUGGUUAUCGGGCUGUAUUUUUGGUUUUUAGAACCAAUUCAUUAUUUAGAAGUCUUCGCUGGUUCCAAAUGGCCACUGGUGAAAACUUAAGAGAAAUGAUCUCCAAUGCAAAUUUUGACUUUGCUAACACAUCUGAAAUAUCAAUUUUAGGAUAGGUAUACCUUUGCUUCUGGUCCCAAUGUACUCGAGGUCAUUUUGACCUAUGGAUUGGAAAGUUAAAAAUUUUAAAAUUUAGGUGUGGGACGCUCAUUUGGUUGAAUAACUUUGAAUUGAAAAUCUAACAUCGCCAACGUGUUUGAAAAGCUGAAUUUAGUAUUGUUACAUAUUUCGUUUGCGGAAAUUAGAUUAUAGGUGCAACCCGAGGCAUUGGCCAAAUCUUGGAAUCAAAUUCCAUGUUUUAGCUGUCAUGUACCCGUGAUGUAGGCCAAGACUUAACGCCUUAUGGACUUAUCUGCGGAUGUUAGGCAUAGUGGAGAUUAGUAAACCUUAGUAUAAUGUUACUUCAUAGCUUAAUGAAAGAUGAUGUACUUUCCCCGGAUAUGAUAUUUGGGUCAAUAGAGAUACUACUUCCUUCUUUAUAUGUUGUUUGACCGAUAGAGAUGUUAUUCCCUCUUAGACUUGAUAUUUGGCUUAUAGAGAUGAUAUUUCCUCUUAGACAUAAUAUUGGGUCCUUAGAGAUAUUGUUCCUCUAACAUAUGAUGUUGGGCCUACAAAGUGCUAUUUCUCUAACAUAUGAUGUUUGGCCUAUAGAGAUGCUAUUCCUCUUAGAUAUGAUGUGUGGCCUAUUGAGAUGUUAUUCCUCUUUGAUAUGAUUUUGGGCUUAUUGAGAUGCUAUUCCUCUUAGAUAUGAUGUUGGACCUAUUGAGGUGAAACUCCUCAUAAGUCAUGUUGUAUGACCUAUUGACAUGAGAUAUCUUAUAGAUGAAUACAAGCUUAUUGAUAUUAUGUAUCCUAGAUGUGAGAUGCCUCCUAUGUGAGAGAUGAUUACAAGCUUAUUGAUAUUAUACCUCCUAGAUGUGAGAUGCCUCCUAUAUAAGAGAUGAUUGCAUGUUUAUUGAUAUUAUUUCUUCUAUAUGUGAGAUUAGUAGAGAUAUACCACAACUUAUAAAUAUGAUUGUCAAUAUCAGUAUUAGAUAUAUAUAUGGGCCUAAGGUUGUGAUUAUGAUGUUGUGAUUAUUUUGGACAUAUUAUUUGGCCAAGGGCCAUGUUAUGAUAAUGAUUAGAUAUCCAACGAGUGUUUAUCCUUGUAAAGGGUAUAAUUUCAACUUAUGAAUAUGCACAUCUAUGUUUAUAUACACAUCUCUCUUGUAUGAGAGGGAGGAAUAUGCGGUAUGUUGCUUAUGACUUUAUUGAUUUGGAUAUUGCUGAUAGCAUGCAUAUAGUUGGUACAUUCAUGAUUAUUUUAUCGGUAAUUAAAGUGAUUAUAUCUGCAAUGUUAGCUUAUGAAUGUUCUUCCUACUUAAGGGUUAAGCUAUGCGGUAGCUAGUUGUCAAUUAGGUUACUAUCGCACUUAAUGGUUAGGAAUCUAUGUUCUAGUUAAUGAACCUUGUGUAGUUGAAAUAUGGUAGCUAGAGAUGGUUGAUACAUGGCUAAUAAUGAUGUCGGGUUUAGCAUAGGUGAAAAUUUGUUAUAUUGAUGACUAAGUCCGUUGAUGACUAAGUCCGUGAUGUCGAUUAGUUGUUAAAUGUGGAGUUAUGUAUUAAUGAGGCUAGAUAAUAAGCGACGUUGGUGAUAAAAGAUGACUAGUAAAUAAUGAUGAAUGGUUUAUAAGCUAGGAUUAGUAGCUAAAUGAUAGUUAAUUAAAGAAUGGUGUUAGUUAAAUAAAGAUGGUUAGAUGACAAAUGGUAAUGUGUUUAGUAGUAAUUAUUAACGGAUAUAGGAUAAUUAAUUGAUAAUGUUGAGUAGUGGUUGAAUAGCGAUUAUGUUCUAAGAUGAAUCUUUACUAAAUGUAGUGUAUUGGUUACUUAUUAUAUAAUGAUUAGUUGCUAUCACAUGAAUAAGGAUUAUGUGAAGGACAAUGUUUAGGUUAAUAAUUAGAGAUCAUGUGAAGACUAGUGAAUUAGUGGUUUAAUGAUCAUAAGCAUUGGUUAACUAAUAACAAAUAUUAGGAAGUAUUGACAAGUUAGAUAUUUUAUGAUGAUACGGUUGUGAUUAUGAGUAUAUUAAUAGGCUUGUAGAUUUACCUUCCUAUUGCCACAUCUUGACCCCGUGAACUUAUUAUAUGUCUAUAAAUAUAUAUGUAUUUAUUUUUAUGAUUAUAUUGAUACCCGGAAAGGCCGGAGGAAUUCUGAUGAUAAUAUUGAUACCCCAUAAGGCCGGAGGAUAUUAUGACGAUGAUAUUGACACCCGACAAGGCCUAAGGAUAUUGUUAUGAUGAUAUUGAUACCCAAAAAGGUAGAAGGAUAUUCUGAUGAUGAUAUUGAUACCCGAAAAAGCUGAAAUAUAUUGUGAUAAUGAUAAUGAUACGGCAAGGCUAGAGGAUAUCGUAAUUAUGAUAUUAAUAUUCGGCAAUGUCGUAGGAGAUUGUGAUGAUGAUAGUGAUACCUGACAAGGUCGGAGCAUCUGUGAUGAUGAUAUUAAUACCCAAAAAGGCAGGAAGAUAUUGUUAUGAUAAUAUUGAUACCUGUCUAGGCCAGAGAAUAUUGUGAUGAUGAUAUUGAUACCCGGCAAGGAUGGAGGAUAUCGUGAUAAUGAUAUUGAUACCCAACAAGGUCGGAGGAUACAAUAAUAUUGUAUUGCUAUUCGGAAAGGCCGGAGGUUGAUUACACUUAUGAUUGUCAUGAUGAUAAGAGUUAUAAUGGAGAUGUUUAUAAUGAUGAGAUUAUUAUAUUGAUUGUGUACUUUGCAUUCAUUCCUCCAUUUGCAUCGCUUAUCACCAGUAUGCACCUAUAUCUAUCAUCCGAUAUUGAAUAAUUACAUAUAUAUGGGUAAAGAGUAUGGAUUGAGUUAUUGUAUGUUGAUUGAACUUUCCGAGUUUGGGUAGUGGGGAUAUGCAUAGUCUCGGAUAUGUACUUGAUUGUUCUGAUUAGUCGAUGAUUUAUGUUGUUACUAAUAUUAUUAUUAUCAUUGUUAUGAUUACUAUUAAGGCUAGCUUAUGAUAGAUUGGUCAUUGAUCUGGUAUCGAGAUCUGAGUAUGGUUUCUUCUAUCUUAUGAUGACAUUAUUGUACACGAUUAUUUCAUGUCUAUCCUUGUGGAUUAGAACCCCUGAGUAUGGUAGUAUUAAAUCCUGGUAGUAAUAUAAUAAGCCUUUAAAUGAGAACAUGAUGAUCUAGGUUAUGCUUGGCAUGACCUCGUGUUCGUAUGUAUGUGUAUAUCUAUAUAUAUAUAUCUAUAUUUAGAUAGGGUACUACCGUAUAUCUCUUCCUUCAUUUUGUAUAUUGUAUAAUCAUUUCUUCGCCUUAUAUAUUGUUAUAUAUCUUUCUUUCGCCCUUUAUUCGUCUAUUGGCCUGGGAUAUAUAGCAUAGCAUUGACGUCUAUUGCUUGUGGAUGGAAUAGGAUAGGUCACCCUGAUACUUUCUUAGUUUAAUUGUGUUAGACUAUAUAUAUAUAUAUAUAUAUAUAUAUUUCUUCAUUUUUCAUAUUGAAUAGUCAUUUACUCACCUUGUAUAAUGCUAUAUAUUUUUCUUUCUCCUUUUAUUUAUAUAUUGGCCUAGGAUAUAUAGCAUAGCAUUGAUGUCUAUUGAUUGUGGAUGGAAUAGGAUAGUUCACCCUAAUACUUCCUUAGUUUUAUUGUGUUAGACUCUUGCACUUGAGAAGGAUAGUUGACCCUUAUUAUUCUCAUUGACUUGUUAUAUGAUUUCUGGACUCUUGGGUGCAGAUUUCAUUCUAUUUAUAUGUUCUAUAUAUCUACUUUAUCUUUGGAGCUCAGUUGGCAGUUGCCUACUGAGUACCAUUAGUUUGGUACUCAAACUACACUUCAACAACCUAUAGAUCUUAGUAAGGAUUAUGUCCAUUGAUGUGUGCAUCAUGCAGAGCAGCCAUGGUCCAGAGACAUAGAGUAAACUCCUGAUGUUUGGAGUAUUACUUAUUUCUCUCUUUUGUAUUAGGCUAAUCUCUAUAGUGUGUUUAGACAUAAGUUGUAUCUGUCAUUGUUGUUUCUCUUUUGUACUCUUAUGAUAUUAGAAGCUCUUGUACUGAUACCACUAGGUUUUAGGAUUCUAUUAUACAUUGAUCUUUAUGUCAUUUAUUCCACAUUUUGUUCCUUAUAUUAUUUAGUUGUCUGGUACUAGCUGUUCCGAACUAUGGGUUGGCUUGCCUACUGGCGCGUUAUGGUAGGUGCCAUCAUGACUUGAGAAAUUGGGUCAUGACCCACCCUUCUCUUAUUUUUCAUUCUUGAAUAUCAAAGAUCUGGAUGUUUUCUUUCUUAAAUAUGCCAUACACAUUUCCAAAUUCACAUUGAAGGAACGUUUUAUGGAAAGACGUUAUAUUUUAACUACAGAACGGAAAAUUAAUUAUCUAUAUCAAGUUAUUCAAGUUCGGGUUCUAAUGGGGCACUAUUCAAAGGCUUCUCAGAGCAACAUUUUAGCUUUGGCAUCAAGGUAGGUUAGGUUUACCCUAUAUUUAUAAUAAGCUCAUUUGCAAGAAUUGUUUUGUAUUAAGUGUUGCAAUGGCGCAGUGCAGUGAGGGUGUGGUGUGGAUUUAUUUAUAAACCCGCGAAUUUAAAAACAUCACUACACCACACCUCAUCACUUUGUAACCCACAUAAACCCGCCCCACCUUUAUACCCACACAUAUCCACCCACCUCACCCCACCACACUUUUUUCUUUUUUUCUUUUUUUAAAAAUUUGUAACUCUAUUGGAAUCCACAAUAUUUUCAAGUCCUUCCUAUAGAUAAAUUAAAUACGCUAUGCACAACAGAGUGAUUUAGUAAGGAAAAACCUUUAAACUUUUGUUUGAUAUUUUGAAUUAUAAAAUUAUUUUACUUAUUUGAAAAGAAAAAGUUAUGAAAUUAUUUAUUUAUAGUGUUAUAUAUGUCGUUUAAAGUAUAAUAAAAUUUUAAGUGAAGAAUACAUAUAAUUUUAGGCAGACUCGCGUGAAUAAUACCAAAUUUUAGUUUUUUUCUAAUUUAAACCCAUAUAUACCCCCAAUCUGCCCCUCCCCGCACCAUUUAAAAUGAACUUACUCCAACCCGCCCCGCAACUAUAUAUCCUAAUACCUGCACUGCCCCACAUACCCUAAAACCCACACCAUAUUGAACCCGCACUGCCCUAUUACCAUUGAUAUGUUAUUAUGCUAUUUUGGGCAGGUAGUUGUAAUUUUUGCAUCUUUUGAAAUAUCCCAUGCCAUAUUUAUCCAAUUAAGAUGCUAUUUUAGUAAAUUAGUACCGUUAUAUUUUUGUAUGAUGUAGUAUUUAUGAGCUUGGGGUGUGGUAUUAAGUUUCGAAACCUUGGAUUUAUCCCUAUUAACUAAGUUAUGUCAAUGUUUUUUUAAAUGUAUCUCAGUUACGAUUGAUGUCCAGCAUAUAGUUUAUUUUUGUCAAUUAUUGUGAACUUUGGCAUCGGUUAAGGUUUGGUCUACUUUGUAAUUUUACAUAUGGGUUUUAAUGACCCUCUAAGUUAUUUUCAACAUUUUUGUUCAUGUUAGCUAUUUAGAGCUUUCCUAUGGCUGCCUUAUGCCAUUUAUAUCUUGUUGAAGAUGAUAGUUCAGUUACUAGAUAGUACAAUUGGAUUUUAGAGACAAUUGCCUAUUUUGAAGUCUUUGCUACUACAAUUAGCUGUUGAGCAAACAUUUUAGUCAAACAAUUUUGUAUGCAAAUUUUAACAGUUCUUCAAAACAUUGAAUUUAGGAUAGGGAGACUUUUGGUUCGGUUCAUGAGGCUUUCGGACUUAUUCUAGUCUAUUGGCUGAAAAUUGAUAAAAAAUGGCCAAUGGGUAUGGGCCCCACAUUUUAUCUAAAUGAUCUUAGAUAGAAAUUUUUACUGCAUCAUUUAGUCUAAAAUGUCGAAUUUGAUAGGGUUGCAUAGUUUGUUUGUGUUAAUGAGAUUUUACUUGAAUCUCAAGGGGUCGUGAAAACUUAGAAUUUUCCAUGUCCCAUCUGGUGCACCUCUCAGUUGGUGCAUCAGCUUAAGCGACUCUUGGGUUGCUUAAGUAGAGGCCACUUAAGCAACCAUGUUUUCUAGUUGAAGGUCAUUUAAGUAGAGCCUUGUCCGUUUAAGCGGUUGUUAGUUUUCUUAACCGAUGGUGUGUAGGUAGGUGGGUACCACUUAAGAGGUCUAGUGACCACUAAAGAUACACCUAUGUGGCAUUAAAUUUCUCUUAGCUCAAUUUUCUCACAAUUUUUCCACAAGUACAAGAUAUUAGAGUCCUAGAGAGUGUGAAAAUUAGGGGAGCAUUUAUUAGAAGAUUUUGGGGUAAUUGUGAGCUCGGGUUUCUCAUUUAUUUCUCAAAUUCUUGGUAUGUUUCCAUUAAAUUCAUUUUCUCAAUUAAAAACCUUUAAACUUUUGUUUGAUAUUUUGAAUUAUAAAAUUAUUUUACUUAUUUGAAAAGAAAAAGUUAUGAAAUUAUUUAUUUAUAGUGUUAUAUAUGUCGUUUAAAGUAUAAUAAAAUUUUAAGUGAAGAAUACAUAUAAUUUUAGGCAGACUCGCGUGAAUAAUACCAAAUUUUAGUUUUUUUCUAAUUUAAACCCAUAUAUACCCCCAAUCUGCCCCUCCCCGCACCAUUUAAAAUGAACUUACUCCAACCCGCCCCGCAACUAUAUAUCCUAAUACCUGCACUGCCCCACAUACCCUAAAACCCACACCAUAUUGAACCCGCACUGCCCUAUUACCAUUGAUAUGUUAUUAUGCUAUUUUGGGCAGGUAGUUGUAAUUUUUGCAUCUUUUGAAAUAUCCCAUGCCAUAUUUAUCCAAUUAAGAUGCUAUUUUAGUAAAUUAGUACCGUUAUAUUUUUGUAUGAUGUAGUAUUUAUGAGCUUGGGGUGUGGUAUUAAGUUUCGAAACCUUGGAUUUAUCCCUAUUAACUAAGUUAUGUCAAUGUUUUUUUAAAUGUAUCUCAGUUACGAUUGAUGUCCAGCAUAUAGUUUAUUUUUGUCAAUUAUUGUGAACUUUGGCAUCGGUUAAGGUUUGGUCUACUUUGUAAUUUUACAUAUGGGUUUUAAUGACCCUCUAAGUUAUUUUCAACAUUUUUGUUCAUGUUAGCUAUUUAGAGCUUUCCUAUGGCUGCCUUAUGCCAUUUAUAUCUUGUUGAAGAUGAUAGUUCAGUUACUAGAUAGUACAAUUGGAUUUUAGAGACAAUUGCCUAUUUUGAAGUCUUUGCUACUACAAUUAGCUGUUGAGCAAACAUUUUAGUCAAACAAUUUUGUAUGCAAAUUUUAACAGUUCUUCAAAACAUUGAAUUUAGGAUAGGGAGACUUUUGGUUCGGUUCAUGAGGCUUUCGGACUUAUUCUAGUCUAUUGGCUGAAAAUUGAUAAAAAAUGGCCAAUGGGUAUGGGCCCCACAUUUUAUCUAAAUGAUCUUAGAUAGAAAUUUUUACUGCAUCAUUUAGUCUAAAAUGUCGAAUUUGAUAGGGUUGCAUAGUUUGUUUGUGUUAAUGAGAUUUUACUUGAAUCUCAAGGGGUCGUGAAAACUUAGAAUUUUCCAUGUCCCAUCUGGUGCACCUCUCAGUUGGUGCAUCAGCUUAAGCGACUCUUGGGUUGCUUAAGUAGAGGCCACUUAAGCAACCAUGUUUUCUAGUUGAAGGUCAUUUAAGUAGAGCCUUGUCCGUUUAAGCGGUUGUUAGUUUUCUUAACCGAUGGUGUGUAGGUAGGUGGGUACCACUUAAGAGGUCUAGUGACCACUAAAGAUACACCUAUGUGGCAUUAAAUUUCUCUUAGCUCAAUUUUCUCACAAUUUUUCCACAAGUACAAGAUAUUAGAGUCCUAGAGAGUGUGAAAAUUAGGGGAGCAUUUAUUAGAAGAUUUUGGGGUAAUUGUGAGCUCGGGUUUCUCAUUUAUUUCUCAAAUUCUUGGUAUGUUUCCAUUAAAUUCAUUUUCUCAAUUAUUUCCCAAAAUUCGUAGAUUAUUAGUGGGUUGAUUUAAUCAUCAAUUGAACUCGGAAUUACCCAUUCUUGAGGGUAAAUAUUCUUUAAACAUAGAAGGAUACGUUGACAGUUUCGAAAGUGUGAUUGUAUAAGUAGGUUCCACAUGAGAUUUUUACAUGAUUUUGGAUACAAAGCAUAAACUACAAUAUGGGUACCAUUGUUUUUGUAUUAAUGAGUAGAUUAUUAUUUUGAUAGCAUGCCAUCAUUUGGCAGCUUCUUAUCAAGGAAAAUCGAUGAUUUAGUAAAUUUCACCAAACUUUCUUUGGCAUUAAGGUAGGAUAGGUUUCCCUUUCUCAUAUAUUGGGCUUAUUUAUAGUAUAUUUAUGAUAAUUUGCUAGAUAUGGCUUAAAAAUUAGUUAUUAGAGGUAAAUCCAUUAUAAUUUACAUUUUUAGCCGAUUAAGAAAUCGUAAAUUAGGCAUAUUUGACUUAGUUACUCAUUCUUUAGGUUGAAUUUCUACCUAUGACUAAUAUGUGUCUUAUUUAAUAUAUAAUAGUCAGUUUAGAAUUCUUAGACUUGUUAGGGGUAGAAUUAGCCUUAGAAUGAAAUUUGGGUAUUAGAAAUGGGCCCCUCCAGCCCGCCUUAGGCCUAGACUACUACUAUCUCCCUGUAGGAUUAAUGGACAUGUCAUAUUUUUUACAUUUGUAUUUAAGAGGUUUAAGAGAUUAGAUAAAUGAUGACUUAUGCUAUAAUGUUACUUGGGAGAUGAUACUAGUUCCGCUUCGCGUCCAGUAAUUAUGAUCUUAAGACCAUUUUGAUUCUAGCAUUGAUGAUGAUAUGAGUUUCGAUUCAAGUUCGGAAAAUUAUAAUAUGAUUUUAGGUUCAAGUACGAAAUUGUAAGGUUAUUUAUGAUGGAUAUGAAACCGGUUUGAGUCUGGAGUUUAUGGUAUGGAAGUAUCCAUGGUUAUGCCUUUGAGAAAUAAUUAUUUAGUAUAUUUUCAAUUAAUACUUCUAUUGAUUGCACCCUCCGGGAUUAUAAGGGACUGCAUUGGGUUAUUUACUUUUCACACUUACUAUGUUAUGGGGACCAAUUUUGUAGUGAUAGUUAUGUUUUUUUUCCUGUUAUUGUUAUUCCAAUUAUUUAUUUAUAGCAUUGAAAGCAUUUUUCUAGAUUUGCUCUCUUACGUUGACUUAGUUUAUUUAUCUUAUAUUUUUAUUAUAUUUAUAUUAUGAUUUUUCUUAGUCGGUUGAUGAUGUCUAUUGAGUACCAUGUAUUUGGUAAUCAUACUACACUUCUGUACAUUUUUCGUGUAGAUUGAACGUUUAGUUGUCGUCGUUGAUGGUGCGAUUGUGCUGAUUAGAGUUUGGAGACAAGGUAAAAUCUCAAAUUUAGAGCUGACCUUUUCUCUUUCUUCUAUUUUUUCUUAGCCUUUUCAUCUUCAAUACUGAUGUUAUUUGACUAUUAUCUUAAACGUAUUCUUUUGGUUUAGUGGCUCUUGUACUCACACUACUAGGUCGUGGGAUCUUGCUAUAUCUCUUAUUUAUCUUCCAUCUUAUUAUUGUUCUGUAAUUUAUAUUUGUAUGCUCUUACUUACAUAUUUUGGUCAUUUAUCCAAAUAUUAUCCCAUUACUUUAAGCUCCAGGCUAGGAUUUGGCUUACCUACUAGAGGAAUAAAGUAGAUGCCACAUGACUUGUAAAUAUGGGUUGUGACAAAUUGGUAUCAGGGCCCUUGGUUCACUAUUAUUGUUGGUACACGAAAAAGUGCCUAGCAGAGUCCCACAUAUCAAAAUAAAAACGUCAAUUCUUAUCUUUGGGAGGCUAUAGGACAUGCUUAGUAGAUCUUUACUUCUUUCACUUAUUUUGUACUAUGAAUUAGAGUUGUUUUGCAAAGAUUAAUUUGGUUUCACUUUUUCAAAUAUUGCUAGGACGUGUUCUAUUGCUACACGAGAAGAGGACCCCAAGUCAAUGACUAGGUAUUCUAUCAUAAUUUAUGGAUGACCUAGAGAAUUAGGACAAUUGAAAGAUAUAGACCCAACCAGAGACCAAGAUAAGGGGCCUUCAACAUACCCUAUUCUUAAUCCUGCACCAUAGAUUCCUUCACCCUAGCUAGUGGUGGGCGAGGGACCAACCUAGGCUUUAUUGGGUUUUAUUUCAUUUUCACUGCUCAUGGAAGCAGUGGUUUAGCUCUUAGGAUUAGUUGGUAGUUCCCUAUCUAAUAGUGCAUAGUAUGUGGAUCAGAGUGGUAUUGAGGUAGGAGCGCAACCUAUAGUUUUGACUCCGAGAGUUGAGGUACCUCCUGCCAUAGUGGUUUCUCAAAUGGGUAUUGCCCUACCAACUACUUCUGUUAAGAUGCAUAAUAUGUUUCGUUGAUUUUUAUGAUUGACUCUGUCGAGGUUGUCUGGUGCACUGGGCGAGAAUGCUUUAGAGUUCUUGGUUACUUGCAAUGAUAGGCUCCGUAAUUUAUACCUAGUUGAGACUCAUAGUGUAAUACUGGGUAGAUUUUUGUGAUUGACUCUAUUGAGGUUGUCUAGUGCACCGAGCGAGAAUGCUUAUGAGCUCUUGGUUGCUUACGAUUAUAGGCUCCGUAAUUUAUGCCUAGUUGAGACUCAUGGUGUGGAUUACACUACUUUUUAAUUGGAAUUGGCAGCCUCACACUAGUGGUAAGGUCAUGGUUCUUGGCCAGUUAUAUCUCCUUUAUACACAGACUCAAUUCUCUAGGGUCUUCCCGGAGAAGUAUAUGCCUUGUAGCCUCAAAGAAUGCUUAAGAUACCAAUUACCAAAGUUUGGACAGGACUCUAUGAUUGUUGUGAAGUAUGAGGAUCAAUUUAAUGAGUUAAAUAGGUAGAUUUUAGUUGCUACUGGUAGAUCUUUUGCUGAGAUUUGUUAUAAUUCUCAGGUUAUAGAGGAGAUGUAUAGCGAGGCCCAAGGGGGAAACAAUAAGAGGACGCAAUAUUAGGGUAGUUUCAAUAGGAGUCGUAGUAGAUCAUGGGUCAGAGGACGUGAUUAUUAGGGUAGGAAUCCUCUGAAUUAGCCUUAUUGUCACCACGGUUAGUCUAAUAGGACCGUUCAUAGCUCAUCCUUUGUGGGGUUCAUCUUAUGGGUAUUCUAUCCAUGGUGGUUACCCUAGGUCAGCCAAAUUUUUGGGAUUCCGUACAACGCCAGGGGCAUGCUAUGGUUGCGGGGCCUUUAGCCAUUUCUUAAGGGAGUGCCCAGUCGUGGGAAAGUUGUUCUAGAAUCCUAGAGUGUUACGCCAAUUUAGGUAGCACCGCCCCCAGCUAAAGGUGGUUGGUAUAGCCAUCGAGGGUGGUCCCUAGGAAGUUUGUGGAGGUCUUAAGGAAGGUAGGUCAAGAGAUUAGUCAGGCACCUAAUUAGGUGGCAGGUACGGUUAGUUAUAUGUUAUACCUAAUAGAACCGAGGUAGUAUCUUUGGAUGUUGUUAUUAUAGUUAUGAUUUCAGUUUGCCAUCAAUCAGAUUAUGCUUUAUUUGAUCUGGUAUCCACCUCCACUAGGGAACCGUUAUGCUGGUUCGAGGAUGGAAGCAUUGCUUACAAUGUUGGUUAAAGGUUUAUAGAGAAAAAAUAUUUUCCUUAAGAAGAUUAAGGUAGAUAUUUUAGGACUGGGCCAGAAAGUUGAAUCAUUUUCUACUACGAUUAAGCAGCUUGAUCAAUAGUUUAGUCUGAUAUUGGCUACUUUGAAUCAGCAUCAACUAGGAACUCUUCUGAGUAAUAAUAUUCAAAAUCUAAAGAGUCACAGUCACUGACUAUACAUCACCACUCAUAGUGGUAAGGCUACUAUUGAUCCUUUUCUGCUUUUGGAUACUAAGGCAAGGGAUGUUACUAUUGAUCUUGAAAAUACACCAAAAGAUAAAAUUGAGAAGUUGUUGACAAAUGGUAAAACAUCACAGAAAUUAUUAGGCGUUGAAAAAUUAUUUGAUACUAUAAAGGAAAGGGGAAAGUGGUCAAACCAGCUUUGAAGACCAUUCAAUGACCUACCAAACCUUUUUCUCAAAUGUUGACAUAGAAAUAGGAAGAAGGGGAGUAUAAUAAGAUUAUUGGUAUGCUGUAGAAGUUGAGUGUGAACAUCUCUCUUUUUGAAGCACUUAAGUAGAUUCCUCACUAUACAAAGUUUAUACAGGAUUUGGUGUCAAAGAAGUGAACUGUAAGUCAUGAGAAUGUUGGUCACUUGCAUCAUUGCAGUGCAAUUAAAUCUAAGUCUCUUGUCCAAAAAAGGUGAUAUUUUAGCUUUUACUAUUCCCUGAACUAUUCAAACAUCUAGGUUUUUCCAGGGCUUUGUGAGACUUAAAUGUAAACAUUAACUUGAUGUUGAUAGCAGUGUUCAAAAAAUUGGGCUUGAGACCACCCGAGCCCACGAAAGUGUGUUAUUAAUGGAAGAUCAUGCAAUUAAGAAACCUGUGGUCAUAUCGCUUGAUGUUUUGCUCAAAGUGGACACCUUCAUCUUUUCGGCCAACUUUGUUGUCUUUGAUUUUGAGGUUGAUUUUACGAUGACCAUAAUAUAGAAAGAGUUUUUAGCCAUUGGUGGAUCAUUGGUGGAUAUGGAAAGCGGUGACCUUAAGUUUAAGUUGAACAAUAAAGAAGUCACAUUCAAUAUGCGUAGAAAAAUAAAGCAUCCGACUCAUAUGAGGGUGGUUUUAAUAAUAAACAGUCUCCUAGAGGUCAACCCUAUGGCUACCCUAAUGAAGUCUUAGUAAUGAAGGUCCCUAUGUCAUACAACAAUGUUAAAUUAGGCGCUUCUUGGGUGGUAAGUGGUAACAAAGGUAUUUUGUAAAUUCUGUGUUUGUGAAAAUAUGUGUUAUUUGUGAUUAAUAUCAGAUCUAUGCACCUAAGGAGCCAUAGGUAUGUUCCUAACUCUUUUUAUUUGUAGUGGCCAAAUGCAUUGGGGAUAAUUCAUGAUUAUUUGAUGGAGGUAGGUAUACUUGUGGGUCUAGAUGUCUUCUUGAGGUUUUUGUUGCCAUAUCUCUUUUUCCCAGAGUAAGAUUGUAGUAAAUCCGACAUGUUUAGGUUGUGUAUGUGUUGUUUUUUGUUAUUUUUCAUUUAUGUUUAAUUCGAAGAAAAAUAAGGAAGCUAAGUGAAACUGACAUUUUUUUCUUUUGUGUUUUGAAGUGUCUUGAAAGAAUGAUACCCCUCCAAAAGUUUUGUGAACUGUGUGUCACGGCCCAAACCAGGGCCUAGUUGUGACAUUUAUCUCAAGACCACUAUGGACCGGAGACCAUCCCUUUAGCCUAACCCCAAGAGCACAAUAAUAAUCAAGAGGAACCCAAUCAAGAUAGCAAUAAAAGAUAAAUAAGUCAAUUGAAAGUUCUAAGAGUCAAAACCAACAAUCCAACACACAUUGUCCAUAAAAGCCUCUAAAACCGGAAUACCAACUGAGUCGAGAAAUGACCCCGAAUAUGACCAAAAAGAAAAUAGAAAAUACUAGAACAGUAAUGAAACUAGUGAAAGGACCAGACCUUCAAAAAGAUGGAAGCUCACCACCUCACAACAAAUCCACAGGAGUACUCAGCCACCUUAUGCUACACAGGAGCAAUAUAAAACCCUUUGGACUCUAUAUUGUAAAACUAUAUAGUGUCCAUGGACGGUUAGUGGGAUAAGCACUGACAUUUAACUUUGGGAAAGUGAUAAUAUAAUGUUAAUUCCCUAAACAAUCAAAACUAUAUAUACAUAUAUAGGAUGCCGGGAUACAGAUGGGGCCAUGAACAUAACAGUUUAAACAAAUAACCUUAACUAUGUAGCUCGCUUCAUCCUAAAGGCACUAACAGUAUAUAUGGGUAUAGCUCACAACGUUGAAAAGGCCCCAAUGUGUGUAAUCUGUACAAACAAAGGAAUCUGAAGAAAGGGAUAAAGACACCAAGGUUCUAUCCACUCGAGAAUAUAAUGUGUAAACCAUGAACAAGGCCAUACAGAGCCCCACGGUGGAAAACGUGGUUUCUAGUGUUAGUCUUUCUUGGACUACGCCUUCACAGUGAGCUACAAAAUUCUAUUUAUACCCAAUUUAAAAUAAUUUUCACAUAAACCCAUCCAUUAACCGAGGAGUCUUAUAUUAAGACAUUUAUCACUUGGUAUGAUCAUACCAAUUAUUUUUUCAAUCUAAUCAAAUUAUGUCAAGACGACACCAUUUAACCAAAUUGAAUACCAAGUUCUAUUUAAAAUCCAAUCCAUGGACACGAAGAGCCUUUCAAAUACAUUUCAACCAAUUACCCAUUAAUGCAAUGCAUAGAGUUUAUAAAUAAAUUAAAUUAUGCAAUUAUCCAUGUUAAAAAAAAAACAAAAUUUUAAAAGUGGGUUGGGGUUAAUGUCAUUACCUAGCAAGAAAGUCAUCAAUUUUGGGAAACCCAUGUCCCCCAUUCGCAUAAUAAUGCACCCAUUCAGUACCAAAAACCAUAAAUUAAAGCAUAAAUCAUCAAUUUAAAACAUGGGAAAAGUAAUUCAAGUGAUACCAAUCAAAACCCCUCAACCUAGUUUCCAAACCCAUCAAUUCAAAUCAUAUGGAUAAUGAGUAAAAAUGUACCGUAAUCUAAAAUUUAAGUUAGGGAAUGAAAUAUGCUUGAAAUACAAAAGGAAUUGAAGACAAUUUGAAGUUUGGAGCUCGGGUGAUGAAUUCACCGUAGAACCCUUGAAUGUUCUUGGGUUUUGAGUUUGAGAAAGAAAAAGAGUUGUUUGAUCUUUGAAAACUGAAGAAAAUGGGGUUGUUUUAUGUUUAAAGAUCGUACAAGCCUACUGGAGUAAAAAGACAAUAAGCCCCUUAUCCCAAAAAAAAAUAAUAACUUGAUGAAAUUAAAACAUUGACGUGGCAUGCCGUUAUCACAGAGUGUAACCUCUGUGCCAUGCUAGUAUUAUGGAGGCUAACCUCCAUGACACGCCAAUAUCAAAAACCCUCACUGCCUUGAGGUCCUAAAAUGACCCGAACCCCUUCAAAAAAUUCUAAAACUUUCCCAAAUUACCUUUUUAAUAUUCCUAAAACCAUUGAAAUUUUUGAGGGGUUGUAUAUUACCCUCUUGCCCUUUAGGAUCAUUUGUCCUCGACUGAGGAUUCAGGCUAUUUUUAGCAUGAAACUCCCAAGAAUGUACUAGAAUCAAAUGACCAAUUUCAAAAUGCGACAAGAGAAAACAAAACUUAUACCACAAGCACUCUCAUCCAACAUGGAGAACAAGAAUGGGUAUUUGGCAUUCAUAUCUUCCUCAGCGUCUCAUGUAGCUUCUUCCACCUUUUUAUUUAUCCAAUGAACUUUUACCCGAGCUACAUCCUUCCUACUCAAUCUAUGAACUUGCGUAUCUAAUAUCUCGACCGGUGCCUCCUCAUAAGUCAAGGAAUUUGUUACACCAACAUCCUCAACUUGCACUAUCAAGGAAGGAUCACCCGCACAAUUUUUUAGCAUAGACACAUGGAAAACAAGGAGUAUAGAAGGAAAACUUGUUGGUAACUCUAACUCAUAAGCAAAAAUCCCAAUCCUUCUUACAACCUAAUUUUACAAAUAUAAUGGGGGGAUGAGCUUCCCCUUCUUCACAAACCUUAUGAAUCCUUUCAUAGAAGACACCUUCAAGAAUACCCAAUCAAUUACUUCAAAUUCUAACUUCCUUCACCUCAUAUAUGCAUGACUUUUGGCAAAUUUGGAUAGUCUUAAGUAUUUCUCUAAUCACUUUCACCUUCUUCAUGGCUUGGUGAACCAAGUCACGACCAAACCCUAGUCUCACCUACCUUAAACCACCCUAUAGGAGACCUAUACCUUUUACCAUAGAGAGACACGAAAGAAGCCAUUUUGAUGCUAGAGAGAUAAAAAUUACUAUACACAAACUCAAUAAGAAGAAAAUGGUUAACCUAAAUGCCCUUAAAGUCAAUCACAAAGGCCCUUAGCAUAUCCUCUAAGGUUUGAAUAGUCUGCUCCACUUGUCGAUCUAUUUAAGGGUGGAAAGCGGUUCUAAGGUUCACAUGAGUACCUAAACCUUUCUGAGACAAAUGCCAAAAGUGAGAAGAAAACUACAUAACUUGAUCUGAAAUGAUGGACACCAAAACACCAUGCAACUUAACAAUCUCCUAAAUAAACUACUUAGUAUGAUCCACUCCUGAGUAGUUAGUCCUCAUAGGCAAGAAGUUAGCAAACUUAGUAAUUCUAUCCACAAUUACCCAAACAAAAUCAUACUGAUUGCGAGACUGCGGAAGGCCAAUAAUGGAAUCCAUAUUGAUCAUCUCCAACUUUUACAUAGACAACUCUAUAUCUUGAGAUAUGCCACCAGGCCUCAAACGUUCAAACUUCACUUGCCGAUAAACCAUACACUUAGCUAUAAAGUUUUCCAUAUCUCUCUUUAUAUUAUUACACCAAUAUAUUUUAUUCAAAUCAUGAUACAUCUUCAUCGAACUCGAAUGACUGUAUACCUAGACUCAUGAGCCUUAGCCAAAAUCCUUUUCCACAGCCUAUCAACAUUAGGAAAAGACAACCUACCUUGAUACCUUAAGAUGCCAUCUCCCCCAAUCUCAAAAGCCAUAACCUUUUACUAACCCACAUCAUCCUUAAUCUGCAUAAGUAUGGGAUCUAAAACCUAUUUCUCCUCUACCUUAGCACCAAGAGAUGAUUUAACCGCUUCCUGAACAAUUACUUCUCCAUCCUCAGAGUCCAAAAGAUGAAUUCCCAAGUUAGCCAACCUGUGAAUAUCCUUCUUUAACACUUUUUUCUCCACAUCCACAUAAGAUAAGAUCCAUAUGGACAAAUUGCUAAGAGCAUGAACAACUACAUUAGCUUUAGCAGGAUGGUAGUGAAAGAUUAUGUCAUAAUCCUUAAGUAAUUAAAGCUACCGCCUUUGUAUUAGAUUUAAUUUUUCCUAAGUAAACGUAUACUACAAGAUCUUAUGAUCUGAUUAAAUAUCCAUAUGCACCCCAUAUAAAUAAUGGCAGUAGAUCUUUAAGGAAAAUACCAUAACCGCCAACUCUAUAUUGUCAGUUUGGUAAUUCCUCUCAUGAAAUUUAAGUUGCCUAGAAGCAUAACCCAUAACCUUAUUGAUGUUUUGGAUUUUGGUAGAACAUUCUACAUCUUUUUCAAGGGAUAAGUGUACGUGUUCAAGCAACUUUUUUUGUAUUUGAUACUGGGUUCUAGUGUUUUCAGGUCAAGGAUUUAGCUGAAGAAGAAACUUGGAAAUGUAGAAGAAAAAGGCCACUGACGAUCAAACUGGCGAACUGUCAGGGUGACCAUCAAGGUUAAUCAGACCUCUAAUGAUCCAUUAACUUGGCCAUCAGGAUGAAAUAGUGUAUGGAAUCUCAGGUCAUCAAGCGAUGGUCUACAUGAUAGACCGUCAGGACAGUGAAGACCUAUCACCAUGACCGACACCCCUUAACCAAAAAGUGGCCGUUUGGGACCAUUAGCGACGGUUCAUGUGAUGGAUCGUCAGGCUUCUGACAGGCCUUCAACAUGACCAUCAACUUUUAUGUGGCUUUAAUAAGUUUAAAUUUAAAAUUUCCAGUUCCUGGGAACAUAUAAAUACCUAGUUUAGGUUUUAUUUAGGUAUUUUUUUAUGAUAUUUCUAUCUUUGAAAACUGAUUGUAACGUAGUAUUCUCUGAGAUUCAAGAAAAAUUAUUGUAACUUUUAUAAGUAAUUCUCUAAAUUUAUUUAUGAAUAACACAAUGAUUUCUUCUUCUCCUCUUGAGAGGUGUGGCUAAAUUCCUAUAACUAGGGUUAUGGGAGCGUUGAUGUGAAUAGCUGUGGGU